CCAGUGAACCCUGAAGUAGUAUCAGGUAGAGGGGGUGGGAGUAAGUGGGGAGCCGUGUGCACUCUGCAGGAAGCGAGAGAGACGAGAGCUGAACAACAGUGUCGAGUGGACGCAGAGUUCAUAGAAGGGCGACGAAUUUUCAGGUUGACGGAUAGUUAACUGGAGUGGAAAUCUGUCGUACCCUACUGUGAGGUGUAUGCACACACCUAGGAGGGUGAAGCAUGUCUUCAUGGAGACAGGUUCCUGCUGAGUGGUUGAACUGGAUAAUUACUUGGACAACAGGCUUUUAACCACCUUGCCCCUCUCUCCUGGCCUCCACCACCCAACAAACAGCCUGAGUUUCUCCUGGUAGCUUUGAGUGUUUCUGUGUGAAAAAGGUCGAAAAGUUCCUGAGUAGAAGUCAAGUUGUGUGUGGUGUUGUGAGUGCUAGACCAGACCUUUGUAAAUAGUUGGAAGUAGCUUUGUGAAUUAGACAACUCAUAUUGUUUCACUGUAUUUAACACUGUAGCAGCCUUGUAGGAGUGAGAAACGUUUUCUCCUGAAACCUGGUUUCUCUUGUUUGUCACAGUAGACAUUUAUGUAAGCAAAGUGUUUGUUCGACUUUUAUUUUGUGCAGGGAAGAUUACAGAGCUUUAGAGAUCUUUUGUUUGGUAUUUUGCCAUAGCUCACUGCCAAAUAGUCAAUAGUCAAUAAAAGGCUGCAUGGGGUUUGCAAUUUGCAUAGUUUUGGCUCUUUCUUGGGUGGAGUUGGAGUGGGGUGUCACACUUCACCUGCCUGUUGUGAGAGCAGACUGACUUGUUUUUAGGUAUUUGAAGUGCUUGGUUCAACAUGUACCCUGACUACAGUGCUUUCUAUGGUAGUGUUCAUUACCGCAGUUGAGAAGGAUAUAUUUGCAUAUUUAAACUUCAAAUAAAAAAUGAAAGCAAA